GAGGAGCGAAAGCGUGGGGAGCGAACAGGAUUAGAUACCCUGGUAGUCCACGCCGUAAACGGUGGAUGCCGGAUGUGGGGCCCGUUCCACGGGUUCCGUGUCGGAGCUAACGCGUUAAGCAUCCCGCCUGGGGAGUACGGCCGCAAGGCUAAAACUCAAAGAAAUUGACGGGGGCCCGCACAAGCGGCGGAGCAUGCGGAUUAAUUCGAUGCAACGCGAAGAACCUUACCUGGGCUUGACAUGUUCCCGACGAUCCCAGAGAUGGGGUUUCCCUUCGGGGCGGGUUCACAGGUGGUGCAUGGUCGUCGUCAGCUCGUGUCGUGAGAUGUUGGGUUAAGUCCCGCAACGAGCGCAACCCUCGCCUCGUGUUGCCAGCGGAUUGUGCCGGGAACUCACGGGGGACCGCCGGGGUUAACUCGGAGGAAGGUGGGGAUGACGUCAGAUCAUCAUGCCCCUU
rnacentral:rRNA from 1 species